GCCCUUUAAUCUCUCUGUCUCUCUCUUUGCCUCGGCCCAGCUCCCUUGGAUCCGCGCCGUGGGCCUGUCUUCAGGAACCUCCCUUACUCCAUUCUUACUAUUCCAUGCCACGCAUCGCUGCUUUGAGGACCCUCGUUAGUCACCAUCUUGUCUCUGUCAUUGCUUUAAAAACUAUCUCUCUACUUUUCCCGUUUCUCUCUUUGUUUUUGAAUUCGGGAAGCCGGAGAUUUUGUGCGGUCCGUUUGAGCGAUCGAGCCAGAGUGUUGUUAGAGUGCGUGUUUGCCUUUUUUUCUGUCCUUCUGCAAUUUUUUCCCCUUUGGUUAUACCUGUUUUUGUGGAAACGGUGUUGGUAUUGAGCUUCCGCAAGUGCGUUACUAGUGCUUGGUAGUGCGGGUUAGAGAGGGUGAGCUUUUUGUGCAAGGAUUUAGGGUAUGUUGUAUUUAGUGGGUUUUUAGGGUUUUGUUUUUUAGUAGAUGGUUUUGAGCAUGAGAAGUUCAGUUUGCUUGCGUAGGUGGUGAAGUGCGUCUUUGAGGGGAUUUUGGUGAAGUCGGCGUUUUGGCAGUGGAGAAGAAGCGUGGUUCUCUCUAAAGUCGUCUACUUGGACGGUAUGAACUUAUAGCGAGUGCAAAAUCACUUCAGAAGCAAUGGAGAGUGUUGAUGCUGAGGUAGAAAUUGAUAUGGAAAUUUCGGACGACGAGCAGGAGAGUUGUAAGGGGCGUGUGGUGGCGGAACAGGUAGUUGAUGACGAAGGGAUUAAGCAUGGCUAUCCUGGAGACCCAUCAAUCACAAGCAAAACUCAAUUCAGUCGCAAGCGAAAAUGGUCAGCACCAGUGGAAAUAACUCCAUCAGUACGUGUCGAAUAUCACCACCUUUCCAAAGCAAGUCGAAAAAAACUUCAAGAACUUUUGCGAGAUUGGUCUUUGUGGCAGGGAUACCACAGUCGUCAUUCUUCCUCAGAGUCAAUGGAAAAUCUUGUAGAGAGUGGCAAAGAGGAAUACUAUCCAGCUUUGCAGGUCGGCCCAGCUGGGAGUUCUUUUAGUGUGUCCUUUUGGGUUGAUAAGCCUUUAAAGCAUGCACGCAGUAAAGAGCCGGGUGACAACUCAGGGUUGGUUGGCCCAAACCUUCCAGAUCUUAGAGAAGGUGAAGCUGAUGUUCCCCUCUACGAUCGGGUCAUUUCCUCACUGUCUUCUCAAGAACCACGCAAAGAUGGAUGCGUACAGUUAGAGCGUGAGGAAGCAAGGUGUUUCAAUUGCGGGUCUUACAGUCAUGCACUCAGAGAUUGUAAGAGGCCUUGGAAUUACGAAGCUAUCAACUCCGCUCGGUCAAAUCAUGCUUCCAAGAAAAUUUUUUCUUCUGGACCCCGAACUGCGUCCAGAUAUUAUGAGGCACAUCCCAGCAUUGAGGAACCUGAUCGAACACCUAAACAGCUCUAUAAAACCGGCGAGCAUGGUCAUCUUUCUAGCGAUACCAGCAAAGAUUUAUCCAGAGCGACUUUUGGCCCCGACAAGAAGGAGGAGAAAACAAAUAAGCUACCAAAUACUGAUGAUAACGAAGAAGGUGAAAUCGUUGAUGAUGUAGACUCUUCCUGCGUGGAGGAGUUGUACAUUGCAUUUAGUCCAGAUGCUACUUCUCAAGCCGAUAGAAUCCCUGACUUCUCUGGAACACGUACUCCGUCCAGCAACUCUCCUCCUGAGCGAACGUGGAGAAGUCCAUCCGUGACAUAUUCUCCUCCCAGCCAAAUGCCCUUUAAUAACCACCACCAACGUUCUUUUGCAUAUCCUGCACAACAUCAUCCUUUUACUCAUACCCCACCGUCUGUGCACUACAAUGGAAUGAAUCCUCCGAGAAUACGUGACGAUAGGCAAUUCCAGAGGUCGUGGGAAGACAGAAAUACGUACCAUUAUCCCGAGCACUCUAGUAGUCCUCAUCCAGUAAGUGCCCCAAGUCCUCCUAUUGCAAUUCCAACCACCAAGAAAGAGGAAGAUGAUUGGGAACUUAACUUUGAAUCAAGCGUUUAUCAUCCAGAGGAUACACGGUCAUUUGUUGGAGUGCCCGGUAUGACUGAACAAUACACUCCUUUAACCAGACGUCCCAGUUUGACUGUAAGUACUAUUGCUGGGUUUUCCCCUCCCGAUCCAUCACAGUUGUCACCAACUGGUAGUGGUUAUGGUGAUAGCUUUCGACCAUCACCUAUUCCUCAAACAUCAGUGCAGUACCACUUAUCAUACCAGAGCACUCUAGUAAGGCAGCCGUCCUGUCCCACAACCAGUGAGGCAUGGGAAAAAGCGCAGGCUGCUCUCUCGUCACUGCAAAGCGGUGAGAAUGGAAGCGGUCGUUGAGUUCCAACACUAAGCUCAAGGAUUGAGGUAAAUGAACCUUCUUUAGCCUUUGUAUCAUAUGAAUCUGGCUUGCUUUGUUAUGGAUGUGAAUUCCAAAGAGUAAUAGCCCAGUUGUUGGUACUCGUUGCCAUGAUGCGCAAUUUGUGAUUCUCAAUGUAGUUGGAGAUAUAUCGAUCUGUUAAAUUGACAAGUAGUUGAGGUUUUUGUGCUAAGAAUUUUAGCCUUUGACAUGCUGUAUUCACUUUGGCUAAGUUCCAACUCUAGAUGCGUAGUUGCUGUGAAACAUUUUGAUUUAGCAAGCAAUUUUUUCGUAGUAUACACCUACCCUUCACCUAAUCCUCACUGAACUAAUUUGGUUCAGUCGUAUACUGUAAAACAUAGUUUAGGUGUGAAGAAAAACUCUGUUGCAAGAUUAGAAUCCUCAAAACUUCUAUGCUUAGUAGACCAGGACCUAACCAAGUUCGAAAUUGCUUAUUUUUCACCAUUGCAACUGGAAUCCUUGACCAGUGCAAGAAUGUCAAUCUAGCAAAGCUUGUUUCUCAGAACUGGUGCAGGUUAUAAAUGUGUAACGUGAGAGCUACAAUUGUGUGGUUCCUCCUUUGUUCGACUUCAAGAAUUGGAGUAUUUCUGCUAGCGUCACCUCUCAAUGGGAUACUUUUACAAAAAAGAUCCAGUUUUCUUAGCUCUUCCCAGCUGAUGUAACUGACUGUUUCCGUGCCAAUAGCAAACACAACUCUAUAGGGACCUCCCCUACUUCGCCCUUAUAAAGAAUGGAAUAUGGAGAGUUCAAAAACAGAUGUCACCCACUAACUCAAACUCAGAGCCACUAUUUAUAGUUAUUAACCAUUUUGAUAACUGUUUGUAAUCAAACCUUUCUUAAGUCGAAAUUUCCCAAGUCAAUAUCAGAAUCGACUUUGUAUCCCACAUCAUAUCUGCUCAAAUGAGCAGUUUGCCUCAGGGUUCUAUGACUGAACGCCUGAGGCAAACUUCCUCAAACAUCAUACGUUGGUAGUAACAAGAUCUAAUGAGAAAUCCUGAAACUUGCCACAAAGUAGUGCUGCGAUGAGGAUACAGAGGCCAUUUACAUAUUUUCGAAUAAAACGGAGCUACGGCCUCUCAUAACGCCGUGAAAAACCUCGCAUCGAACCUUGGCACUCUUGUUUCGAAUCCGAAGUCUCGCUUCUUCUGUGAGUAUCCUUCACUUGAUGAGAAACAUACGAAACCUAACUGACCAAUCACUCCGUUUCUGCAACAAAUCCUGGCAGCACCGCAAUUUUUUUUCAUGCAUCUUCUAAGAAUUUUAGUAUGUGGGUAGUCCUUGAAAUUACUGGAAUCUUGGGUUUCGUGACGAGGUUGUGGGAUUUGGAAAAACGAAAUGGGUUUCAAUUGAAGCCAACGAAGGUGUUCGGGUCUGAACUUGGUGGACAUUACGAAGUCGCUGGCAGGCGGCUCGUGGAUGGCCGUUGGUCUCGGACGCUGUGGGUUCUCUCUCCUUCCCUUCCUGUUUCACUUACCAAUCGCUAAUCCUAAAGCAACACUAAGCACUCGUCCAUCCACGCGAUCAGUGACAGAUCUCACCACUACUGACCCACUAAUUCGAUUCCCUAAUCAGCAUGGUUUAUCGAUUGAGUUAUGGGAGUGCGAGACUGGUCUUUUCAUAUCUUCUGCAACAUGAGAAACAGGGCUUGCUGUGCAUGGCUUCCCUCACCAUGGCCAUUGUCGUAGGGAAGGGAACAUGAGGACUUUAGUUUGUUGCACUGGUAGAAAGCCUGCGAAAUUGGUGCACAACAUACAAUUACUUGUCGCCGGGUGCCGCGUCUUCUCCAGCACUGCAUUUGGGAAUUACUGCUCAGAAGCCUCCACCAGCUCUUUAGGAAAACCCUACGUCGGACCAAACAUCCCAAUCGAAGAGUGGCUGUUGCAUCUGGAGACCUUACGAUGAAGAAACCUUUCUAGCCAUUUUCAAUCUCCACAAGCAGACUUAAAGCUUCUCAAGCACACCAUAAGGGUCGGUAGUCUGUUGAGGCUCGGCCUAUCCAGCUUACAAGUAUUUCUCCUUCCAGUGUCUCCACCCUGAUAUCAUUUUCCGAUGAGACAAUAGUUCAUGAAAUAAUGUACAUCGUGUAUCUAAUCUAGUUUUAUAAAAGUUUUUGGAUCGAGAUGAAAAUGUUUCCACUGUAUGUCAAACAGGAGGAUGGACAAGAUACAUCGUGGAAAAACCUUUUGGAAAGGACUGAAGGUUGUCCUAAGUGUUUAGCUCUGAACUAGGAACUCUCCUUCCAGAGGAGUAACUUUGCCAAUUA